rnacentral:hammerhead_ribozyme from 1 species
AUCCAACUGACGAGUCCCGAAUAGGACGAAACGCGGAUACUGGAU